AAACGGCAGCAUUGUCUCCACUGCUGAACCUUAGUCAAAGAAACCAUCGCCUCAGGCACAGGCCAUCGAAAUAGCCUGUGAAUCGGCCGCCUCCCUCCCAUUCUUGUUCUUUUCCAUGUAUUCUUCACGCCACAAGUGACCGUUUUAAAGAGAUGCUUCCAGUUGGAUUGGAUGCCCCUUCCUGCUGUCUCACGAACCCUCAACCAUGGCGGAACAGGUCAUGUGCUUCCUCACUUGGGACCUUAGCCCAUGCCAGAGCCAUCUCCCCCUCCUCCCGUGGCGGUCACUUCCUCAGGAAGGGCCGCUGAGUCUGCGGCAGACAUCCCCCUCUGUUAAGACGAGAUGCAUCGAUCCAUCCACUCCAGGGCUUAGAGCAGCGCCUGGCGUAGCAUCCUUGCUACUAAUCUAGGAAAUGACUUCCAGAGACAUGAAAAGAGGAAAAAACAAGAAAAAUUGUGUUAGAAUAAGCUUUGAACUGGGUAGACUUCAUCCUAUUAAAAGCCACCUUUUAACAGAGAUAAAGGUGACCUCACACCCAGCAAGUUGUGAGGCUGGACUCUUCUUUGACAAAUGGUAUCCUGGUUUAUGCACAAAGAUGUCCAUCCAGCCUUACUUACAAUAUUUCAUGUCCAAGGCCAGAGGCCUGCUUCAGUGACUUAUGGAUUGAUGGAAGAUUAUAAAGCCAUUCAAAUAAUACUGGCAAAGACAUUUUAAAACAUGGAGAAAGCCUUGUGUUGUAAUAUUAAGUGGAUAAAGGAGGCCUAUGAAUGACAUGCAUUAAAACCUAUCAUGGGACUAACUACAGUUAUGAAACUUUCACUUUAUUUCAAGUGUCAUUCUCAAGCAAGAGCAGGUGGGGCAGGCUUGGAAAGGAGUCAGGGGCGGCACAAGGCUAUUGACCCCUAAGCUUCCUCCCGAUCUAAAAGCCAGGAUUGGAAACACACCAAAAUAUUAACACUGUACAUCGCUGCAGGCUUUUCUUCUCUGUUCCUCUGUAUUUUGCAAAUGUUGUAACACUUUUUAAAAAACACUUUUUUCUCCUUUAAAGUUUCCCCAGAAACUUCUAAAAGGCAGCUGCUGUGGUCUCACAUCCCCUUCCCCCUGCAAAUGUGUAAAUAAAGAAACACCUCUUUGCCUUUAACUCACAACAGCCUAAACUUUCCCCUGCAAGCGGAUAUUCUAACCAGAAGUCUGUGGGUGGGUCGGGUGUUGUGUUUUUUGUCGUAGCUUCUUUUGGCUGAUAAACUAGCACUUAAGUGUUUCCCUUUUCCAAACCCCCAAAUGAUAAGUGUCUUUGUGGUGAGGUGGCAGCCCAACCGUCAUUGCCAACAUGAACAGUCCUGGGGACGCUUAUUUUUAGGUUGCUGUCUAAGCAAGAGCUAGGCUGA